UAACGAAUCUUCCGCAAUGCACGAAAGUGUGACGGAGCGACGCCGCGUGUGGGACGAAGCCCUUCGGGGUGUAAACCACUGUCAGGGGAAAGAAAGUUCUGAUCUACCCCAGAGGAAGAGGCGGCUAACUCUGUGCCAGCAGCCGCGGUAAUACAGAGGCCUCGAGCGUUAGGCGGAAUCACUGGGCUUAAAGCGUGUGUAGGCGGACUUCUAAGUACCUUGUGAAAUCCCACGGCUCACCCGUGGAACUGCUUGGUAUACUGGUUGUCUUGAGCCUUCUAGGGGCGAGUGGAACAAAUGGUGGAGCGGUGAAAUGCGUAGAUAUCAUUUGGAACGCCAAUGGUGAAAACAACUCGCUGGGGAAGUGCUGACGCUGAGACACGAAAGCCAGGGGAGCGAACGGGAUUAGAUACCCCCGUAGUCC
rnacentral:rRNA from 1 species